rnacentral:rRNA from 1 species
GACGAACGCUGGCGGCGUGCUUAACACAUGCAAGUCGAACGGAAAGGUCCUGCCUUUGUUUGGUGCUCGAGUGGCGAACGGGUGAGUAACACGUGAGUAACCUGCUCUUGACUUUGGGAUAACUUCAGGAAACUGGGGCUAAUACCGGAUAGGAGCUCCUGCUGCAUGGUGGGGGUUGGUAAGUUUCGGUGGUUGGGGAUGUACUCGCGGCUUAUCAGCUUGUUGGUGGGGUAGUGGCUUACCAAGGCCUUGACGGGUAGCCGGGCCGAGAGCGGUACCGUACACGCUGGGACUGGGGUACCGCCCAGAAUGCUUGUGGAGGCAGCAGGCGAAAGUAUUGCAGAAUAAGGCGAAGACUUAUACGGCAGCUCCGCGUGCGGUAUAACAGCCUUUUAGUUAUAAACCACAUUCGCAUGUGACGAAGAGUGAGUGACGGUAUUGAGUAAGGAAGCACCGGCUAACUACGUG